rnacentral:RNase_P_RNA from 1 species
AACGGUGGGGCAAGAGCCCACCGCGAGUCUGGCAACAGACCGGCACGGCAAACCCCACCCGAAGCAAGACCAAAUAGGGGAACGAUGGCGUGGCCCGCGCCGUUCCCGGGUUGGUCGCUCGAGCCCGCCGGCGACGGCGGGUCCAGAGGAAUGACUGUCACGCCGCGAGGCGCACAGGACCCGGCUUACAGGCCGACUCCACUU